GCCUGGGUGGCUCAGUUGGUUAAGCGUCUGACUUCAGCUCAUGUUAUGAUCCCAGGGCUCAUGGGUUUGAGCCCCAUGUCGGGCU
rnacentral:tRNA from 1 species